rnacentral:rRNA from 1 species
GACAGAGGGUGCAAACGUUUGUUCGGAAUUACUGGGCGUAAAGCGCGUGUAGGCUGCUCAGAAAGUCGGAUGUGAAAGCCCUGGGCUUAACCUAGGAAGUGCAUUCGAAACUUCUGAGCUUGAGUUCUGGAGAGGAAGGCGGAAUUCUCGGUGUAGAGGUGAAAUUCGUAGAUAUCGAGAGGAACACCGGUGGCGAAGGCGGCCUUCUGGACAGUGACUGACGCUGAGGCUCGAAAGCGUGGGGAGCAAACGGG